CACCUAGGAGACACUUUGAGGCACUCACCCUGUAACACAUAGCUCCUCAGAAGGCAGCCACACUUUACAUCUGCUGGCUAAACCUCUUUUUUGUUGUUGUUUUUUGGAUUCUACCUCUUGCUCUCCAGAUAAACUCUCUCCCUGUACAGCCAUGCCCUAGCUUCCUACACUCCACCCAGUUUCUGUCUCCUGAAAUCUGACUUCUCCUUUGCAUUUUAGAGCCUUCUUGCGGGCAGUUUGGACUCUGGGAAUUCCUUGCAAGAAACAAACCACACAGCCAAGAGUGAAGCCGAGAGAAUGAAUUGAGUCUUACUGGGAAUCACCAGGGCAAGUGGGGGCUGGUAGCAGAGACAUUCUCUAAGGACCUGUGAUCCUCCGCACUACAGAGUCCCUCCUCCCAGACACCCCUCAACUCUGGCUCCCCGCUCCACUGAAGAUCCCACAACCCCAACCUCAGCAUUGCUGAGGAUUCAGAGUCUGACCCAGAAGCUAAAUUGUUCUUGAACUUGUGGUAAUCUCGACUCAACUCUGGAUUGCUGGAAUUAUAGGCAUAAGCCACUGUACCCCCGAACCCUUAGAAUCACACUUCUUCAAUAAGCUGGGAAGGACAACAUCUAUCAACAGGAUUCUCAAGCCAGGCGGUGGUGGCGUACACCUUUAAUCCCAGCACUUGGGAGCCAGAGGCAGGUGAAUUUCUGAGUUCGAGGCCAGCCUGGUCUACAGAGUGAGUUCCAGGAUAGCCAGGGCUACACAGAGAAACCCUGUCUCCAAAAUAAAAAACAAAACAAAACAACCCCCCCCCCCAAUCUCAAAAAGUAUCUCAAGGGAUGGCUGGAGAAAUGUCUCAGUGGUUAGGAGCACAGGCUGCUUUUCCAGAGGACCCUGGUUUAGCACCCACAUGGCAGUUUACAAUCAUCUGUAACUCCAACUCCAGGGGAUCUGAUGCCUUCCUCUGGUAUCCCCAGGCACCAGACAUGCACAUAGUGCGUAGACAUUUGUACAGGUAAAACACGUAUAUGCUUAAAAUAAAAAUAAAAAUAUAAGGGGCUGGAAAAUGGCUCAAUGGUAAAGAGCACUGGCUGCUCAUCCAGAGGUCCCAGGUUCAGUUCCCAGCACUUACACGGCAGCUCACAGCCAUCUGUAACUCCAGUUUUAAGGAAACUGACACCCUCUUUUGGAUAUCACGGGCACCAGGCAUGCAAGUGAUACACAGACAGACAGACAGACAGACACUCUUGGGCAAAACACCUAUACACAUAAAAUGAAAUAAAAAACAGAAAUUUCAAAAUGUUGUGAGGUGAAGUUCAAAUGUAGUGUGUGUGUGUGUGUGUGUGUGUGAGAGAGAGAGAGAGA